UAAAGAAAAGUGUGCGGAUUAAAUUAAUGACAUCAUCACAACACUGUUACAUCACCACAGUGGUUUUACUGUGUAGCUUUAUGGUAACUAUGGUAACGGUGACAUUACGGUAUGGUUAGUAACAUAUCAAAUGUUGAAUGUGAGACAUUUUGAAAUGUGAUGCCAAAUAUUGGCUCAUUUUGGGUUUCAUUCCUAAAAAAAGUUAGGACAGGAAGCAACGUGAGGUCGGAAAAGUUAAAUGUACAGAUAAGGAACAGCUGGAGGAACAAUUUGCAAAUUAUUGGGUCAAUUGGCAACAUGGUUGGGAAUAAAAAUAGUGGCAGCGUCUCUCAGAAGUCUAGAUGGGCAGAGGAUCACCGAUUCCCUCAAAGCUGCGGCGAAAAAUAGUGGCGCAACAUCAGAAAGGAGUUUCUCAGAGUUUUGCUGGCUAAAUCUCUAUAGGUCAAAAAGGAAGCCGUAUCUAAACAUGAUCCAGACACGCAGGCGUUUUCUCUGGGCCGAGGCUCGUUUAUAAUGGACUUUUUUUUUUGGAAAACUGUACGCCGUGUCAUCCGGACUAAAGAGGACGAGGACAACCCAAGCUGUUCUCAGCGCUCAGUUCAGAAGCCUGCAGCUCUGAUGGUGUGGGGUUACAUGAGUGUGUGUGACACGAGCAGCUUACACAUCUGGAAAGUCACCAUCGAUGCUGAAAAGUAGAUCCAAGUUCUAGAACGACAUACGCUCCCAUCCAGACGUCGUCUCUUUCAGGGAAGACCUGACAUUUUCCAACAUGACGAUGCCAGACCACUUACUACAUCUAUUAUAACAUCAUGGCUGUAGAAGAAGGAUCUGGGGACUGAGAUGUCCAGCCUGCAGUCCAGAUCAUUCACCCAUAGGAAACAUUUGUCGCCUCAUAAAGAGGAAGAAGUGACGAAGGUAAUGUGACCUGAGACUGUUGAGCAACUAGAAGCCUGUAUUAGGUAAGAAUGGGACAAUAUUCCUAUUCCUAAACAUGAGCGACUUGUCUCCUCCGUCCCCAGACGUCUGCAGGCUGGAAUAAGAAGAAGACGGGAUGCCACACGGGGGGAAACAUGGCCUUGUCCCAACUUUUUUGAGAUGUGCUGAUGCCAUGAAAUUUAUAACUUAUUAAUAGAAUUUAACUUAUUAACUCAUUUUUCCCCUUAAAAUGACCCAUUUUCUCAGUGUAAUCAUUUGAGAUGUCAUCUGUGUUGUAUUCUGAAUAAAAUAUAAAACUUCCACAUCAUCGCUUUCUGUAUUUAUUCACAGUUGUCUACGGCGUCACAACUUUUUUGGAAUCGGGUUUGUAGAAUUCAUGGUAUCCAUGGUAACUACAGCUUUUACGGUGGGCUUUGGUAUCCAUGGUAACUACGGUGUGGUUUUUAUUACUUUACUGUAUUGUUAUGGUUUUUAAUGCAGUACUUUUUGGUAACCAUGGUAACCGUUACAGGAUCGUGGAUCUACGACCGUAUUUCACGGUAUCCCAUGGUAACUGUGAUACUUUAGUUAAACUCAGUCAAAGUUUAUUAUAAAAACUCUCAGUGUGUAAAUACGAGACUCACAUUAUAGCUCUGAUGUCACAGUUUCCAGUAAUUUCCUGGAUGGAGUAGCCUUUCAGCCGGCCGCAGCGAACGGGCCUUUGCGUGUAAGAAAAGCAGCAGCGAGCUACGAGACAAGACAAGAACAGAUCUUUGUUAUAAAAUGACAUUUUUCGGAUCGUCACAAAGUGAUACUCUCGAUGUGACCUUCUUGUAGGUCCUCCUGAAUCGUGCAGAAUCACCUGUCACUCAGAUCAGGAUCGUCGGUGAAAACGAUCGGCUUUAUCUUAAUCUUAAUGAUUAACAACACAAACAGUGUGAAACCUCUCACGUGUGUGUAUAAGAGAAGGACACAACUUUACUUCACUGCAAGUGUCUGAGGUGUUGCAGAACACUUCUUUCUUUAAACGUUACCUUCUGGGACUUUCCCGCAUGGAUGUCAUUGGCUGUUUGUGUUUUUCUCCUCUUUUUUUUGGAUCAGUUUGUCAUGAAUGGAGCCAUGCAGCCA